rnacentral:rRNA from 1 species
GAUGAACGCUGGCGGCGUGCCUAAUACAUGCAAGUCGAGCGAACAGACGAGGAGCUUGCUCCUCUGACGUUAGCGGCGGACGGGUGAGUAACACGUGGAUAACCUACCUAUAAUACUGGGAUAACUUAGGGAAACCGUAGCUAAUACCGGAUAAUAUAUUGAACCGCAUGAAUCAAUAGUGAAAGACGGUUUUGCUGUCAACUAUAGAUGGAUCCGCGCCGCAUUGGCGAGUUGGUAAGGUAACGGCUUCCCAAGGCAACGAUGCGUAGCCGACAUGAGAGGCGGCUAGGCGAGCCGGGAACUGCGACACGGUCCAGACUCCUACGGGAGCCCUCAGUGGGAAACCUGCCGCGAUGGGCGAAAGCUUGACCGAGCAACGCCGCGUGCCUGAGGAAGGCCUUCGCAUAGUAAAACUCUUUGAUUGUGGAAACCCAACUGUGUAAGUCACGAUCCACGUCUUGACCUUACCGAAUGAGAACGCAACGGCUAACUACGUG